GGACCACACGAAUUACUUCAGGCACUGUCUUCAAGCGCGCUGUUGAAUAGAGGCAAGUGCCCAACCACUUCUUUGCUUUGUGAUUUAAGCUGUGAUUUCGUCUUAAUGGGUGGCUAUUAAGAAUAUUGCAGCAAGUGGUAAGAGUGUUUGUUGACCGCUGGGAACGUUCGCUACAGUGCUACGAUAGCCUGUUUGGACUGAUGUAUGCAGUGGGAACCGAGGCAUUGUAGCGUCAUAAGUGAAAUUACCGAGGAAUUCCAGGAAAACAGGCUUAUCCAGCUGAUUGCGUAAUAUAAUGAUUGUCUUCGGGAGAGAUUUGAAGGAUUGUUUGCUUAGUGUGAAAUCUUUGCCAUCUCGGCACACGGAUUGCGGAAAUGGCGGCGACUGGCUCGAACACAUCAGACAAACUGGUGCGGUUCAACAGGGUGUGGACAAGUAGGUUUAGUAAAUGCACAAAAGAUUAUAGCCACUUAAUGUCCUGAUCACCAUCAUUGUCUUAGCCAUCUUUUUGUUUGUUUGAAUGUGAUAAAACACUUUAACUUCGCUUUUGGGAAAAAUGCAAUUAAAUUUGCUUUUGGAGUGGAGCAGGUUAAAGGGCACCACAAAAACUAGUCUUCGAACACGAAUUUUGCAGCACCUUAAAAAA